ACUUUGGACACUGAGAUACACAUGGAGGGAAGAUAAUGGCAAGAGACAUAAGGCGAAGAUGGAAUCUUCAAACUAAGAGGGUCCUGAAAGAGAUUCCUCCCUCAGAGCUCUUCUCUCAGACCCCUAGGAAUGAAUCAGCCCUGUCAAUACUUUGACCUUGGACUUCCAGUCUGUAGAACUGUGGGAGCAGAGCCCGAGUUGCUCUUUGCACUAACUCUGGACUACAUUCGGACCCUGACAAACCUCUUCACAGUGAUUUAGGAGGACUGCCCCGAGCCGCUUCCUCUACGACAGAAAAUCACCUCAGAACCACAACUUUAUUUGCAACCUUUUAUCAAGCAAUUCACUGGAGCAUGCUGUUUUGAUACUGACAUAGAAACGGGAGUACAGUGGAGGCCUUUUCACUGAAUCUGUGAGGUGACCACAUAAAAUCAGCCUGCAUAAAAUGUGGCCAGAGGCGAGACAUGAUGAGGUGUGUCCAAGGCCGGGCCUGCCAGGACACGUCAGGUGGAAUGAAGGCUCUCCCUAUAUCUGUUCCCUACCACAAGGGCACAAUUUGUCCCGGUGCUGCUGCAUAAAAACAGCCAAAGGAGGCAUUUAGAGUGAUAUAUGAAAAGACGAAUUAUAGAGUUUGUGUGUUGAUAUUUUCAGAGAAAUUCUAAACUUCAGCAAGUGAUGACACUCCAUCAAUAUCCUUCAGUAAGACACAUAUAGACACUAAUGAAUAAAUACGCAAUAAAGAUUUUCAAUAUGCACAGA